UGUAAAGCUUUUUUUUUUUUUUUCUCGCCACACCUUCGGGCCAGCUACUGCGACUGAGACCACUGAUGUCAUUCAAUAGCUGAUCUCUUUCUUUCCAACAUCAACAAAACCUGCAAAUCCCAUGUGUUGUUACUCCGGCUGUCCAAACAACUCCAUCUUUCGGCUCAGAUUGAUUCAUGACUCUCCAUCACGCCUCUUUUUCAGCAUCGAAGCUUUCCCUUUUGUUUUAUUUUUUUUUCUUUACUCACAUGUAAAUCUUGGCCUGCAAAUUCCAGCGACUGAUCCUGUUACCAAUAUUCCACCUGGAGCUGCUUCACCGUCUGUGGUCGCCAAACUCUUCUUCUCUCCGUUUCUUUGAUACUGGAAGUCCUGAUGCAAUUCAUAAAAGAAUCCUUGCAUUUCUGAUAUCCUCCUCCGAUGCCAUCUCCUUAUGUAAUCUCAGCUUAUGAACAUCCCGUGUUCUUCUGCUUGCUAGUUACAUGUUUGCGUCUUGCCGCCUAAUUCCCAAAGCUCGUCCUUCUGAUGAACUUAAUGUGAUUCUGACCACACUUAUCACCAACGCCUUCUCCUUUAUACGAGACCAAAACCGUGCUCCAUCUGCUUCAAAUUCAGACUCCACAAAGAUCCCGCCGUGUUGUAUUCUUGCUUGUGUCUUUCUGAUCAUGAGGUUUCAAACUUCCAUUGGUACACCACAGCUUCUCCGACAAUCUCCUUUGUCUUCUCUGUAACAGCUCAUGAUUUCAGAUAAAGGAUUAAGCUCUUGUUGGACUUGCUGGACCCACAAACGAAUAGGACUUGAAGUUGGGCCUAUUAUCUUUAUAUUUAUUCAAAGAAUUACGU